rnacentral:ncRNA from 2 species
AACUAAAUAAUGCAAAGCUAGGGAAAUCUAGGGGCGCAAAGCUAUAGGGGCUAAGGUUUAAUAGAACUAUGCUAGCCAGUUGCCAAA